UAUUCCUUCUCCCGUCUCCUUGCAGCGACUCAAAAAAAUUCGCCUUACAGCGCCACCGUAAGCCCCCGCCGCCAGCCCACAAGGGAGUCCCGGCCGCCGGUUCUCCGAUGCUCUUCGCCUCCCUCGAAGGUCGGAUCUCGCCGCCGUCCCGAACUCGCCGGCUCUCUCCACCCAUGAGGUCUCAUCUCUCCCAAGGAUCCUCUCCAACCCGAAGUUCCUCGCGGAGGGCACCGACUGACACCGGCAUGCGGAGGCGAGGCAGGCCGCCCCUCCUCCGACUGUCCAACCAUAGCAGCGUGGCUCCUCCGACGAGCGAAGGGGCUCUCCUCUCCCAUCGGCCGGCGCCUCGACUCCGACUCCUACAGCUCGCGCCGGACAACAUCCUCCGCCCCCAAAUCUUAACACACUGUAUUCCUCCGGACAUCGUCGUGAACCUCCAAGAAGAUAAGCCAACCUUCAUGUGUAUCUCCCGUUAUAUCUCUACUCUAUUCUUCUCUGCUCUGUUUUUCAGGAAGAAGUUGGAUUGGUGGUCGUUUCCGGUUUUCAGCAUGCAGAUGGGUAUGCCAACGGUUGUUCCUUGGUUGAACUAUGCAACGCAUCUCGCUGAAUUCCAAGCAGUACUAUUUUGGGUCUGUCUACAUACCCAAGUAGGGGAGAUAAAAGCUGCAAGUUGGGUAGAAAGCUCGGCAUGAUUCUUGGUUAGUAGUUUAUAUUCAUGCCUGAAUAUGUUCGAGAUGCAUUGCAUUGCGGCACCAUCAACGGUUCAGCCGACUGUCAAACACACAGACGCGCCGCACAUCGAAGGCGAAAGGCGCCCAACUCUCAAGGGUGGAAGCAGAAAAAAAAGAAGCCAUUGGAAUAAUCGGAUCCUUUUCAGGGGCUAAUUGAAACCAGAAGAAGAAACAUCCAUUGCUGUACAUCAAGAAGCAUAGCAUAAAAAUUCAAUGUGUGCCCAUUGUUGCCUCUGAUGUCUCUAUGUUCUUCACGGCCCCAAUGCCCAGCCACAUUCAUAGUGAAAAGAACCAUGUCUCUACAAAAAAAACAUACAAGGUGAACCUACUGUACUACCUGGUACCUACACAUGGGGUCGUCAAUGCCGUCAUCCUGCCUGUUAUGCUGCCAUAUCAAGUUUGGGUUCAAAGGAGUCAAGUCAAAAAUCCCAACAAAGCUAUGCAUUUUUAUGAUGAUUAGCCCAUCUGAUCAACCCAGGAUCGACGUCUCUGUUUCUAUUUAUGGUGGGCAAGGAGGAGAAGCGAUCUCUCUACCGUGGGCACCCUCUGCAGCUACUGCCGAAGUAUGAGCAAUCCCAGAUGCCUAGAUCAUAAAUCUCUUGCAAUUUUGGGCUUUUGACCGUGCAUCCUCUCUUCGGCUCUGAGGUCGAUUUCACUAAUCUCCCACUGAGGUCUGAACUCCUGUUUUGUUUUCUCUGUCGUAAAUAAAAUCAUUGAGGAUAUUCACCAGGAUUGGCGUUGUAGGUUCUCAGUUCAUGGAAUCAUUGUUUGGAUCUUCUUCCCGGGCCAAAAUAUGUUGAUAUGCACUCUAUACAAGAAUCUGCGAGGUGUUUUCCUGUAGUCGGCCCAUUUUGCCCAGUGCAAGUUCUGUUUGAAAUUUCUUAUAUGUGCUUAACCAAUAUAUGCAACUUGAUAGUUUAUUGAACGUUUAUUUCAACUUAUUCUGUCUCUAAUAUAGUUUUUGGUGAAGAAAUGUUUUUACACGACUGAUAGAUAAAUUGGUGUUGUAGCCUAGAAGCAGAAACAUAUCCCAUAACAAACAUAUAAUUUUUUCUUAAGAACAUUGCAACUGUCAUCUGGAUUGGGACAAAUUUAUCUGAGUUGAUCUUCUCAAACUUGAUUGCCUUUUUCGGGAUAAUAAAAGGGCACUCUUUACGCCAUCCUUGAUUUCAUCAUAUAUGUCUAGGUGUCGUCCUUCUACUACUCUACAACAACCAGCACUCAAAUUUCCCAUCUAUAGAUGUGCGUACUCAAUGUGUUUGAUGGGAUGUACAAGAGAAAAAUCAUAGACUCACUGCAGGGGCCUUAUCUUUCAUUUUGUUGAGUAGGGGUGCAUGCUUCAGACUAAAACUUGGUGGGUUUCAUUGAUAAUGACAGACAGUAUCACGAUCACAAUUCUUCUGAUGUAAUUCAGGUAUAUAUCUUGACUGGGUUACCUUUCUUAGAUUACAGCAUCUUGCACUCCUAUUCUUUAAAGGAUUUGGGCUUCCCAACAUUACACGGCGUACAUGCAUGUUCUUCAUGCAAAUUAUGAUCUCAUACCUGUAAAAUUAACUUAUUGUAUGCUUCCAGCUAAGUACUGAUUUAUUCUCCAUAUCAUAUACCGAGUGGAGGAAUUACGUUGGAGUGGUGGUGGCAUUCUAAUGGAUGUUUCAUCGCCUGAAAUAAUAUGAAAUAAUCACGUUUGUGCUUUGUUUGAUGUUUUCCUGGUCUGCUCACAUGCUUAUGUAAUAGUUCCCUCGGAUUGUAGGAACGAGCUUCAUAUAGAUAGGCAUAAAUAUGUUUGUGAUCAAUCAAAGAAAAUAGGAAGAUCUACUAAAAUCUUUAUGAGUGUGUAUCAUAAGAAUUACUUUGAUUGCAAGUCCAAUGAUCUUAUUAGUAACUAAGUUUGGAAACAUAUGCGCCGUUAGUUUUUAUCUAUAGCUCUUGCCUUCUGUACGUACUGAACUGAAAUUGCAAUCUUCAGGAGAUGAUGCAGUGCUUCAAACAACUCAUCAUAGUAGUUUGCGAAUCAUUGUAUAUUAUCAGUUUUACUGCCUGCUCCGAUCCAAAAUAAGUGUCGCGACACUUAUUACACUUAUUUUGGAUCGAAGGGGGUACUAUUUUUGGGAAAAACAUCACGUUGCUCUCUUUUUGUUAACAUGUGUCCGAGAUUUAAAAGAAGUCCUUAGAACUACAUGGUGAGAUUAUCUUUAGCAGACGAGAUUUCUAUCGGUGGCAGAUCAACAAACAUAAGUGGACUGCCGGCCUUGAUGAGAGCUACUCAUGUGCACGUGUUUCAUUUUGCAGCCAGAUCCAUCCAUUGUAUCAUGAGUGUACACAUCUACUGGAGUAGUGUGGAGGCGUAGUUAUAUUUGAUUAUUAAUUUCUGCAGGCAACCAACGAAACGGACAAUGUAGUGUAUUCAUCACGGCUAAUGCUUCUAUUUAAUUAGCUUUCUUGCAAAACGAUUCAUACAUAUAUGUACGUGGGUGGAACAAUUGAUUGGUCUGAAGUGACAACAUAUUUAUCCAGAAAUCAAUAUAUACAAAUAAAGAAGGAAAAACAUCAAACAAAGCACAAACGCGACUAUUUAAUACUUACAAAAGUCCUCAUAUUUACAUGAUACAAAAGCUAUCCUUAUGGAUGAUGCAUGACAAAGUUCUCAUAUUUACCUGCCUCAGUAUAGACGUAUGUCAUAUAUCAAUAUUUGUAU